CACGUAGGGUGCGAGCGUUGUCCGGAAUUAUUGGGCGUAAAGAGCUCGUAGGCGGCUUGUCACGUCGGGUGUGAAAGACCGGGGCUUAACCCCGGUUCUGCAUUCGAUACGGGCUGGCUAGAGUGUGGUAGGGGAGAUCGGAAUUCCUGGUGUAGCGGUGAAAUGCGCAGAUAUCAGGAGGAACACCGGUGGCGAAGGCGGAUCUCUGGGCCAUUACUGACGCUGAGGAGCGAAAGCGUGGGGAGCGAACAGG
rnacentral:rRNA from 1 species